rnacentral:rRNA from 1 species
UACAGAGGGUGCGAGCGUUAAUCGGAAUUACUGGGCGUAAAGCGUGCGUAGACGGUUAUCUAAGUCGGAUGUGAAAGCCCCGGGCUCAACCUGGGAAUUGCAUUCGAGACUGAAUAGCUAGGGUGCGGUAGAGGGAAGCGGAAUUUCCGGUGUAGCGGUGAAAUGCGUAGAUAUCGGACGGAACAUCAGUGGCGAAAGCGGCUUCCUGGACCAGCACCGACGUUCAGGCACGAAAGCGUGGGGAGCAAACAGG